rnacentral:rRNA from 1 species
GAUGAACGCUGGCGGCGUGCCUAAUACAUGCAAGUCGAGCGAACAGACGAGGAGCUUGCUCCUCUGACGUUAGCGGCGGACGGGUGAGUAACACGUGGAUAACCUACCUAUAAGACUGGGAUAACUUCGGGAAACCGGAGCUAAUACCGGAUAAUAUAUUGAACCGCAUGGUUCAAUAGUGAAAGACGGCUUUGCUGUCACUUAUAGAUGGAUCCGCGCCGCAUUAGCUAGUUGGUAAGGUAACGGCUUACCAAGGCGACGAUGCGUAGCCGACCUGAGAGGGUGGUCGGCCACUCUGGAACUGAGACACGGUCCAGACUCCUACGGGAGGCAGCAGUAGGGAAUCUUCCGCGAUGGGCGAAAGCCUGACGGAGCAACGCCGCGUGAGUGAUGAAGGUCUUCGGAUCGUGAAACUCUGUUAUUAGGGAAGAACAAAUGUGUAAGUAACUAUGCACGUCUUGACGGUACCUAAUCAGAAAGCCACGGCUAACUACGUG